rnacentral:rRNA from 1 species
AGUGAACGCUGGCGGUAGGCCUAACACAUGCAAGUCGAACGGCAGCACAGUAAGAGCUUGCUCUUACGGGUGGCGAGUGGCGGACGGGUGAGGAAUACAUCGGAAUCUACUUUUUCGUGGGGGAUAACGUAGGGAAACUUACGCUAAUACCGCAUACGACCUACGGGUGAAAGCAGUGGAUCUUCGGACCUUGCGCGAUUGAAUGAGCCGAUGUCGGAUUAGCUAGUUGGCGGGGUAAAGGCCCACCAAGGCGACGAUCCGUAGCUGGUCUGAGAGGAUGGUCAGCCACACUGGAGCUGAGACACGGUCCAGACUCCUACGGGAGGCAGCAGUGGGGAAUAUUGGACAAUGGGCGCGAGCCUGAUCCAGCCAGACCGCGUGGGUGAAGAAGGCCUUCGGGUUGUAAAGCCCUUUUGUUGGGAAAGAAAAGCAGCAGGUUAAUACGCCGCUGUUCUGACGGUACCCAAAGAAUAAGCACCGGCUAACUUCGUG